AGAGUUUGAUCCUGGCUCAGAACGAACGCUGGCGGCAGGCUUAACACAUGCAAGUCGAGCGCCCCGCAAGGGGAGCGGCAGACGGGUGAGUAACGCGUGGGAAUCUACCCAUCUCUACGGAACAACUCCGGGAAACUGGAGCUAAUACCGUAUACGCCCUUCGGGGGAAAGAUUUAUCGGAGAUGGAUGAGCCCGCGUUGGAUUAGCUAGUUGGUGGGGUAAUGGCCUACCAAGGCGACGAUCCAUAGCUGGUCUGAGAGGAUGAUCAGCCACACUGGGACUGAGACACGGCCCAGACUCCUACGGGAGGCAGCAGUGGGGAAUAUUGGACAAUGGGCGAAAGCCUGAUCCAGCCAUGCCGCGUGAGUGAUGAAGGCCCUAGGGUUGUAAAGCUCUUUCAACGGUGAAGAUAAUGACGGUAACCGUAGAAGAAGCCCCGGCUAACCUCGUGCCAGCAGCCGCGGUAAUACGAAGGGGGCUAGCGUUGUUCGGAAUUACUGGGCGUAAAGCGCACGUAGGCGGAUACUUAAGUUAGGGGUGAAAUCCCAGAGCUCAACUCUGGAACUGCCUCUAAUACUGGGUAUCUCGAGUUCGAGAGAGGUGAGUGGAAUUCCGAGUGUAGAGGUGAAAUCCGUAGAUAUUCGGAGGAACACCAGUGGCGAAGGCGGCUCACUGGCUCGAUACUGACGCUGAGGUGCGAAAGCGCGGGGAGCAAACAGGAUUAGAUACCCUGGUAGUCCACGCCGUAAACUAUGAGAGCUAGCCGUCGGUAAGUUUACUUAUCGGUGGCGCAGCUAACGCAUUAAGCUCUCCGCCUGGGGAGUACGGUCGCAAGAUUAAAACUUAAAGGAAUUGACGG
rnacentral:rRNA from 1 species